rnacentral:snRNA from 1 species
AGCUUUGCGCAGUGGCAGUAUUGUAACCAAUGAGGUUUAUCCGAGGGGUGAUUAUUGCUAAUUGAAAAUAUAUUUAAAGUUUGGC